GCCCCUGUACCCAUCUGGGAAGGGACCGCACUGUCGAUGCGGGAAGGCGAGUUCGAUCCUCGUCAGGGGCGCCA
rnacentral:tRNA from 2 species